GGCCUUCGGCGCCCGCUCGGCUCCCCACCCCGCAGGGAGGCCCCGGCAGCCCCGGCUCCCCAGGACCGGGCUCGCGGAGCACCUGGUCACGGCCGAUGGCGUGGGGGAACCUUCUGGAAGCGGUCCGGCUGGGGCUGGCACUGGCCCCCUCUGCCCGGCGGCAGCUGGAGUGUGACCCGGGCUCGGGGGGGCCUUUCUCCAGCUCUGACGCCCGCCUCUGCGCGGGGGGAGGGGUGCCGUGCUGGCCAAGGCAGGAGCCAUCUGCCUAGAGGAAUGACCUUUCCCGCUGCGGCCCUGUCCUCAACCCGGGGCGCCUGGAGAAAGCUGGGAAGGGGAAGUGACAGCAAAAGGUCUUCAAAGCCUGGCAGAGGGAAGCCAGGUUGCCUGUUGGAGUAUUUUUCUCGAGAACCUGCUGUUCUGAUCCACCCCCUGCAAGUUAAAAAACGUGGCUGGGGGGAAGCGGAUUUGGCCCAAUGGAUAGGGUGUCUGCCUACCACAUGGGAGGUCCAGGGUUCAAAUCCACAGCCUCCUGACCUGUGUGGAGCUGGCCCACGUGCAGUGCUGAUGUGUGCAAGGAGUGCUGUGCCAGGCAGGGGUGUCCCCCACGUAGGGGAGCCCCACGCACAAGGAGUGUGCCCUGUAAGGAGAGCAGCCCCGCGGGACAAAGUGCAGCCUGCCCAGGAGUGACACCACACACAUGGAGAGCUGACGCAGCAAGCUGACGCAACCAAGAGAGACACAGAUUCCCAGUGCCGCUGACAAGAAUGCAAGCGGACACAGAAGAACACACAGCGAAUGGACAGAGAGAGCAGACAACUGGGGUGAGGGGAGAGAAAUAAAUAAAAAAAUAAAUCUUUAAAAAAAAAUACGUGACUGGGAGGAAGCUGUGUGUGGAAUUCAGGUUUGUCUUCUGCCCGUGUGGACGGGAGAGAUGGACAAGACUUCUGCCCCAAGGAAGCGCAUUUUGGAUCUUUGGUUUCUGUUUUCCGUUUAGCCCCAAAGUGGUGGAGUCCCUUCACCUCCCAGGACCUCAGUUUCCCCAUCUGUCAGAGUCAGCCUCCCUGGGUCACAGGCGAUGUGCCUGUUUCCCAGGGGCCAGGUGGGGGCCAGGCCUGGCGGGUCCCGCUGGCUGGGAUGGGACUGGAAUCUGACCCCAAGACGCCCUUGCUGGUUCUAAUCGACCUGUGAUCCACACGCCGUCAAAUUCACUCUAUAGAGGAAACGAUCCCGGGGUUUUAGCAUAUGCAGUUGUGCGCCCACCACCCCCAAUUCCAGAACAUCUCCUCACCCCAAGAGGAAGCCUCGGCCCGUUAGCAGUUCCUGCCCAGCCCGUGGUGGGCGCUCACCCACCUUCAGUGACUUGCCUCUUCUGAACAUGUCCUCGUAAUGGAAGCACACGCGGCGCUUUCACUGAGCAGAGUGGUUUUGGGGCUGAUCCACGUUGCCGCACGUCUCAGCCGGCAUCCCUUUUUGCAGCUGAAUGAUACUCCACGAUGGCCCAGUUUGUUUCCCCC
rnacentral:lncRNA from 1 species